UACGUAGGGGGCGAGCGUUGUCCGGAAUUACUGGGCGUAAAGAGCUUGUAGGUGGUUUGUCGCGUUGUUCGUGAAAUCUCACGGCUUAACUGUGAGCGUGCGGGCGAUACGGGCAGACUAGAGUACUGCAGGGGAGACUGGAAUUCCUGGUGUAGCGGUGGAAUGCGCAGAUAUCAGGAAGAACACCCGUGGCUAAGGCGGCUCUCUAGUACGGUACUGACGCUGAGACGCGAAAGCGUGGGGAGCGAACAGG
rnacentral:rRNA from 1 species